GACGUCCAGGAUCAGCUAAAAUCUUCCUUAGACUCUCUCACAAAAAAGAAAUCAGACUUCCUGAGAAAGGAGCAGCAACAGAAACAAAAUAUUUUUGGAGUUCAGAUGGAAGCUCAUCGGAACAGGAGGACUAAUGACAAUCUCCAGGAAUUGUCAGUAACAGAUGCAGCCCAUCC